CGCUCCUACACGAUAGAAAUUUACUUUUAAAAUAAUAAAGAAAAUAAAAAUUCCCAUCUUCAUUAACCAUUGUCUGCUGGAACAGAAGGCCAAAGUGAAAGAAUACAAAAGCACAAAACACUGUCUAGGGUCAGCCCUCUCUCUAGAAAUCAGUUCUCUCCUCGGCAAAAAUUUCACCCAAAUCAAAAUCCCUCAAAUCAAAAUGUGAAUCUCAGGAAUACCAAAAAAAUCACACAGAAAGAAUCAUUUGAAGCGUAUUUAGUGUUGUUAUUUUCGAUUCUCGGUCUUGACAGAAUCUCAGCUAUCUCUUUUCUUGGUCUAUCACAUCACUACUGGCUAUAAGCAUCGUUUCCCAUCUUUUUUGGACAAUGCCUGCCGAAGUUCACAUGCUCGUUCGACAUCUUGCUUUUACUGAAUCCUAACAUCAGAAGAAGAGGAGCUUCACGGUUGACGGAUACAUUCUGUCACAAAGAUCACCUGUUGUCUGUUGAACAAAUGGCUGCUGAGUUGCGAAGAAAUAUGGAAAUUGAGUUGGAAAGGAAGUUGGCAGAGGAGCGUCAACACGCAAAUGAGGAGCGUCAACACGCAAAUGCAGAAACAGACAAGAGGAUCUCUCUAGAAGUGGAGAAGAAGAUGCACGAACAAUUUGCUAGUUUCUUGACCAGAAUGCAACAACAACAACUGGGACAAGGCACUUAAACAGUGGUUCAAACAUGGUGUCGAGCAAGGAGCAGUUACAAGGCACUUAAUAUUUUGUCUUUUUUGGGAUAUGUAUAUGCAUACAAUUACAAUGCACAAUGAAGUGUCGGGUAGUAUAUAUGUAAUUGACUUUUUAGUAAUGAUAAUAUUUGUAAUAUUUGGCUUGAGAAAUUCUUUUGGUGUUUGUCAAGCAUUAUUGGUUGUUUUAAUAUUGAUAGUCAAUUGAUAUGAA